UACGGAGGGUGCGAGCGUUAAUCAGAUUGACUGGGCGUAAAGGGUGCGUAGGUGGUUAUAUAAGUUGGAUGUGAAAGCCCUGGGCUCAACCUAGGCGGGUCAUCCAAAACUGUAUAACUAGAGUGCAGCAGAGGAAGGUAGAAUUUCAGGUGUAGCGGUGAAAUGCGUAGAUAUCUGAAGGAAUACCGGUGGCGAAGGCGGCCUUCUGGGCUGACACUGACACUGAGGCACGAAAGCGUGGGGAGCAAAC
rnacentral:rRNA from 1 species